AUUUCACUCAUUCACAUUUGUUUCUACUGUUGCAGUUCAUAGCCUCUCAUUAGUCCCUUGCUUAGGCAUUAGAGUGAUCUCUCGGAAUACACCAUUGGUCCUCCAAGCCAUUCUUGCUUAAUUUUUUCAAGUGGUCGUGAUCGGGGAGUGAUUCACAAAGAUCAUUCGAUUUUUAGACAGCAACGAGUUGUAACAUGACUAAGUUUAAAAAUUUAAAUGCUCUCCUCGACUGUGUGGAACUAACUACAUAAGGGGCUGGCUGGGUAUUAGAAGAGCCAUGUCCAUAAUUAAAGCUGCCCUCAAGUGGCUCCACAAAGAGUCUAAGGCCACAGGAAUUCAAGCUGUAGCUAAGAAGUCUUGCCUUGCCAUUUCAGUGCACUGCCUUUGGCACGUGAGGAACAAGAGAAAGUUUGAAGGAAUUGCUACCCAACCCAAGAGUAUUAUCAGAACUAUCCAAACCCAAAUUUACAGAACUGUGUAAGAGAAAUUUCCAUUUAUGGAUUGUCUUUGAUUGUAUUUGUUUCCCUUGGUUGGCUAAGUUGAUGAAUGUUUUGUCAACCUGGCUCUCGAUUGUUUGAGUUGUAGUUUUUUCCUGAGCCAUGUUUUGGCUUUUUGAUGUUUUUGUAGAUGCUUCGGAGGGGAGCUCUGUUUUCCCCUUUCCUGGGUAUGCCCGAUAAUACUGGACAUAUCUGUUUGGUCUAAUUAAUAUAUUACAAAUCAUCUAA